AUUGAACGCUGGCGGCAGGCUUAACACAUGCAAGUCGAGCGGAGAUGAGGUGCUUGCACCUUAUCUUAGCGGCGGACGGGUGAGUAAUGCUUAGGAAUCUGCCUAUUAGUGGGGGACAACAUUCCGAAAGGAAUGCUAAUACCGCAUACGUCCUACGGGAGAAAGCAGGGGAUCUUCGGACCUUGCGCUAAUAGAUGAGCCUAAGUCGGAUUAGCGAGUUGGGGGGGUAAAGGCCUACCAAGGCGACGAUCUGUAGCGGGUCUGAGAGGAUGAUCCGCCAAACUGGGACUGAGACACGGCCCAGACUCCUACGGGAGGCAGCAGUGGGGAAUAUUGGACAAUGGGGGGAACCCUGAUCCAGCCAUGCCGCGUGUGUGAAGAAGGCCUUAUGGUUGUAAAGCACUUUAAGCGAGGAGGAGGCUCUUUUGGUUAAUACCCAAGAUGAGUGGACGUUACUCGCAGAAUAAGCACCGGCUAACUCUGUGCCAGCCGCCGCAGUAA
rnacentral:rRNA from 1 species